rnacentral:tRNA from 3 species
CGCGGGGUGGAGCAGUCUGGUAGCUCGUUGGGCUCAUAACCCAAAGGUCGCAGGUUCGAAUCCUGCCCCCGCUACCA